rnacentral:lncRNA from 1 species
AGGACUUUGCAUUUUUUGUAGAAAAAAGUAACUUACAAAUACAAGAUAAUAUAAAAUAACAAUGAUAAGAGAUAGUACAACAUUUUUAUAUUUUUAAAUCUAUUUCAAAUUAUAUUAUAAUACAAUACAAAAGCAACUAAUUAAAGUAUACUCAUUAAGGAUACAAAAAAAAAUAUUCAAUUACAAUCAAAUUGUCCUAUGACACCAUUUUCAAUUGAUAUAUCUUUUGAACUCAUCUACCACCAGAAAGAAGUGAUUCAGCAAUUGAAGAAGUAUGUGAAAAUGGUCUAUCCAUAGAAGAAGAAGCAUAAGACAUACCAAAAUCUUGAAAAUUCUCACU